CUUCUUCAAUGAGCUGCGGACAAAUAUAGUGAACAUGCGCAUCGAUGGCACCAGCUGUAAGAAUGAGAUUCUCAGCAGCCAUCACCUCGGUAGUGCUUCCUACAGUCAUUCCUUCCGUCACAUUGUCCAUAAUAUCUGGGUUGCCCGCUUUGCCGAUGCCAACGAUGACGCCUUCCCUGAUUCCGACAUCUGCCUUGAUGAUGCCCCACCAGUCGACGAUCAGCGCAUUGAUGAUGACUAGAUCCAACGUUUCGUCGUCUUUCCGAGCCGAGGCUUGGCCCAUCCCGUCGCGCAG
rnacentral:sRNA from 1 species